CUACCUGCAAGUCGAGCGGCAGCGACUUAACUGAGCCUUCGGGGAACGUUAAGGGCGGCGAGCGGCGGACGGGUGAGUAAUGCCUGGGAAUAUGCCCUGAUGUGGGGAAUAACUAUUGGAAACGAUAGCUAAUACCGCAUAAUCUCUUCGGAGCAAAGAGGGGGACCUUCAGGCCUCUCGCGUCAGGAUUAGCCCAGGUGGGAUUAGCUUGUUGGUGAGGUAAUGGCUCACCAAGGCGACGAUCCCUAGCUGGUCUGAGGGGAUGAUCAGCCACACUGGAACUGAGACACGGUCCAGACUCCUACGGGAGGCAGCAGUGGGGAAUAUUGCACAAUGGGGGAAACCCUGAUGCAGCCAUGCCGCGUGUGUGAAGAAGGCCUUCGGGUUGUAAAGCACUUUCAGUAGGGAGGAAGGUAGUGUAGUUAACACCUGCAUUAUUUGACGUUACCUACAGAAGAAGCACCGGCUAACUCCGUGCCAGCAGCCGCGGUAAUACGGAGGGUGCGAGCGUUAAUCGGAAUUACUGGGCGUAAAGCGCAUGCAGGCGGCCUGUUAAGUCAGAUGUGAAAGCCCGGGGCUUAACCUCGGAAUUGCAUUUGAAACUGGCAGGCUAGAGUCUUGUAGAGGGGGGUAGAAUUUCAGGUGUAGCGGUGAAAUGCGUAGAGAUCUGAAGGAAUACCAGUGGCAA
rnacentral:rRNA from 1 species